rnacentral:rRNA from 1 species
UAGUGGCGAACGGGUGAGUAACACGUGGGCAAUCUGCCCUGCACUCUGGGACAAGCCCUGGAAACGGGGUCUAAUACCGGAUAACACUCCUGCACUCAUGUGUGGGGGUUAAAAGCUCCGGCGGUGCAGGAUGAGCCCGCGGCCUAUCAGCUUGUUGGUGAGGUAAUGGCUCACCAAGGCGACGACGGGUAGCCGGCCUGAGAGGGCGACCGGCCACACUGGGACUGAGACACGGCCCAGACUCCUACGGGAGGCAGCAGUGGGGAAUAUUGCACAAUGGGCGAAAGCCUGAUGCAGCGACGCCGCGUGAGGGAUGACGGCCUUCGGGUUGUAAACCUCUUUCAGCAGGGAAGAAGCGAAAGUGACGGUACCUGCAGAAGAAGCGCCGGCUAACUACGUGCCAGCAGCCGCGGUAAUACGUAGGGCGCAAGCGUUGUCCGGAAUUAUUGGGCGUAAAGAGCUCGUAGGCGGCUUGUCACGUCGGGUGUGAAAGCCCGGGGCUUAACCCCGGGUCUGCAUUCGAUACGGGCUAGCUAGAGUGUGGUAGGGGAGAUCGGAAUUCCU